rnacentral:rRNA from 1 species
AGCUCCAAUAGCGUAUAUUAAAGUUGUUGCAGUUAAAAAGCUCGUAGUUGGAUUUCUGCUGGAAGCGACCUGUCCGCUCUUAACGAGUGUGUACGUGGUUUUGGUUUCAGCAUCCUUCUGGAAGACGUGUUGUUGCACUUCACUGUGUGAUACGGACUCCAGGACUUUUACUUUGAAUAAAUUAGAGUGUUUCAAGCAGGCUUUUGCUUUGAAUGCUGCAGCAUGGAAUAAUAAUAUAGGACUUUGGUUCUAUUUUGUUGGUUCCUAGGACUGAAGUAAUGAUUAAUAGGGACAGUUGGGGGCAUUCGUACUUAACUGCUAGAGGUGAAAUUCUUAGAUUUGUUAAAGACGAACUACUGCGAAAGCAUUUGCCAAGGAUGUUUUCGUUAAUCAAGAACGA